AACGUAGGUGGCAAGCGUUAUCCGGAUUCACUGGGCGUAAAGCGCACGCAGGCGGCUCGGUAGGUAGGGCAUUAAAUCUCCUGGCUUAACUGGGAGGGGCUGUCCUAUACCGCCGGGCUUGAGGAUAGGAGAGGGAAGUGGAAUUGCCGGUGUAGUGGUGAAAUGCGUAGAGAUCGGCAGGAACACCAGUGGCGAAGGCGGCUUCCUGGCCUAUUCCUAACGCUCAUGUGCGAAAGCUAGGGGAGUGAAC
rnacentral:rRNA from 1 species